rnacentral:rRNA from 1 species
AGUGAACGCUGGCGGCAGGCCUAAUACAUGCAAGUCGAACGGCAGCACAGCAGAGCUUGCUCUGUGGGUGGCGAGUGGCGGACGGGUGAGGAAUACGUGGGAAUCUGCCCAGUCGUGGGGGAUAACGUAGGGAAACUUACGCUAAUACCGCAUGCGCCCUUCGGGGAAAGCCGGGGACCUUCGGGCCUGGCGCGAUUGGAUGAGCCCACGUCGGAUUAGCUAGUUGGCGGGGUAAAGGCCCACCAAGGCGACGAUCCGUAGCUGGUCUGAGAGGAUGAUCAGCCACACUGGAACUGAGACACGGUCCAGACUCCUACGGGAGGCAGCAGUAGGGAAUAUUGGACAAUGGGCGUAAGCCUGAUCCAGCCAUGCCGCGUGAGUGAAGAAGGCCCUCGAGUUGUAAAGCUCUUUUGUCCGGAAAGAAAAGACGCCGGGUUAAUACCCUGGUGUCCUGACGGUACCGGAAGAAUAAGCAACCGGCUAACUUCGUGCCAGCAGCCGCGGUAU